GCGGAGGAGUCGCCGGCAGGGCUUCUGUGCCCUUCACGGAUGCAGGGCAGGAAUUCAGAAAAUGAAGCUUUUCUCCCGCCGCUCGCUUGUCCGUCGAGGCUAGAGAGGAGGCACCUGGCUGCGUAGAUGUUAGCCGAGCAGUGCACAAGGACACGGCUACGUGUGCAGAAACAAUCAGAGUGGGUGCUUGAAGAUCAAAUGUAUGGUGGGAAGCAAAGUGGAGUCCCCUGAACAUAUAGGUUGAAUGGAACUGACAGAAGUGAACUGCAGAUCUGCAAGGCUAAUAUCUUUGGUAUUAAAAUGCCUGACUUUA